AGCCUCGGGUCUGUCUCCAGUGAGUUGAGCUGGGUACAGAGCCUGAAACCACAACCAAGGUGACACGCCAAAGGUCAAAACUACUUCAGAAACUUCUCAAGAGACCUAACCUACAUCCUCCUGGCUGUGUGACUUGAGUAUGGCCUCCCAGCCCUCCCCCACUGUCAGAGUCUAGGAAGAUGGGAGGAGGACUCUGCACUGCUGUGAGGACCAGAUCCCUGCAUGUGCUCUAUACCCUGCCUAGGCUGCUGGUCUACCAACACUCUUCCUGUUCUGUCAGUCUACGACUGGGUAUGGGGUAGGAAAGGGGCUUUAGUUCUUAGUUCCCGAGCAGGCAUGGAGUCUUCAACUAAAUUGUUUAUUGCCACAACACAGCAUCUGUUGACCAGUUUACUGCCCCUGGGGAAGACAUGUUUAGUGACAAAAAGGAGGGGCUCACAGAGAUUCAGUCCCAUGUUCCACUUCUGCCCUUCCACUGGCUUGCCACCCAGCUCCACCCCCACCCUGUUCUAUGACAGAACCCCAAUCCCAUCAUCUCUCUCUCCCCAGAUUCCACUCAGCCAAGGCAGAGAGAGUGACCCUCCCCCAACACCCCCUACCCUCUUGAAAGAUGGCCUGGGGAACCUAUCUUACUCCAAAGGGUUUAUUGAGACAGUUUUUUUUUUUCCACAUACAAGUUGGGGGCAAAAGGGAUGGGGCUUAUAAACAGGAACCUGAAGGGGGAACCAAGGGCACAAGGUAGAACCCAAAUAAAGAGUGAAAUAAAUAGAGGCAAAAGUGUGGAGUUGGAAGGAGACUGACAGACUAUCACACAGUGAUAACGUGGGGUGGAUGCCAUUAAAAUCCCAUUUAUACAGAUAGACAGCAAGCUAGGGGCCAGGGGCCCACUCCACCCUCUAUAUUUCAAGGAGGGCCUGUGGCUGGGAGCAUGCCCCAGAGGAGUGGAGGCCCUUUCCAGAAGACCUGGCCCCAGAUGCUUGUUAGUGUUGGAAAGCAGAAGGAAGGGACUGAGGUCCAAGAGGACAGCCUGGAGCCCACACAGGAGGGCCACAGGAGACCCCUUUCAGCACAGCCCUUCAUCUGAUGGGCAGGGGAAGGGUGGCACUCUAGGGUAGAGCCUGGCACCUUCUAUUGUCUUAGGAAAAAAAAAAACAGAUCCCCAAGGACAUCCAGCCCUGGCUGUGCUGAA